rnacentral:rRNA from 2 species
AACGAACGCUGGCGGCAGGCCUAAUACAUGCAAGUCGAGCGCGCCCUUCGGGGUGAGCGGCGGACGGGUGAGUAACGCGUGGGAAUAUGCCCUUCUCUAAGGAAUAGCCUCUGGAAACGGAGAGUAAUACCUUAUACGCCCUUUGGGGGAAAGAUUUAUCGGAGAAGGAUUAGCCCGCGUUAGAUUAGGUAGUUGGUGGGGUAAUGGCCUACCAAGCCUACGAUCUAUAGCUGGUUUGAGAGGAUGAUCAGCCACACUGGGACUGAGACACGGCCCAGACUCCUACGGGAGGCAGCAGUAGGGAAUCUUAGACAAUGGGGGCAACCCUGAUCUAGCCAUGCCGCGUGUGUGAUGAAGGCCCUAGGGUCGUAAAGCACUUUCGCCAGAGAUGAUAAUGACAGUAUCUGGUAAAGAAACCCCGGCUAACUCCGUGCCAGCAGCCGCGGUAAUACGGAGGGGGUUAGCGUUGUUCGGAAUUACUGGGCGUAAAGCGCACGUAGGCGGAUUAGUAAGUUAGAGGUGAAAUCCCAGGGCUCAACCCUGGAACUGCCUUUAAUACUGCUAGUCUUGAGUUCGAGAGAGGUAAGUGGAAUUCCGAGUGUAGAGGUGAAAUUCGUAGAUAUUCGGAGGAACACCAGUGGCGAAGGCGGCUUACUGGCUCGAUACUGACGCUGAG